rnacentral:rRNA from 1 species
CGGAGGAUCCGAGCGUUAUCCGGAGUGACUGGGCGUAAAGAGUUGCGUAGGUGGUAAUUCAAGCAAAUAGUGAAAUCCUGUGGCUCAACCAUGGGGCUAUUAUUUGAACUGGAUUACUUGAGAAUGAGAGAGGUAGCUGGAAUUCCUAAUGUAGGGGUAAUAUCCGUAGAUAUUAGGAGGAACACCAAUGGCGUAGGCAGGCUACUGGCUCAUUUCUGACACUAAGGCACGAAAGCGUGGGGAGCGAACCGGAUUAGAUACCCGGGUAGUCCACGCCGUAAACUAUGGAUGCUAGUUGUUAGACGUAUCGACCCGUCUAGUAACGAAGCUAACGCGUUAAGCAUCCCGCCUGGGGAGUACGGUCGCAAGAUUA